UACGAAAGGGGCUAGCGUUGUUCGGAAUCACUGGGCGUAAAGCGCACGUAGGCGGAUUGUUAAGUCGGGGGUGAAAUCCUGAGGCUCAACCUCAGAACUGCCUUCGAUACUGGCAAUCUCGAGUCCGGAAGAGGUUGGUGGAACAGCUAGUGUAGAGGUGAAAAUUCGUAGAUAUUAGCUAGAACACCAGUGGCGAAGGCGGCCAACUGGUCCGGUACUGACGCUGAGGUGCGAAAGCGUGGGGAGCAAACAGGG
rnacentral:rRNA from 1 species